AUUUUGGGGAAGAGAAGUUCAAUCAUGACUUGUGGAAAUCAAAGAUUGUCUUCUGAAUCUGCUCCUUGAAAGAAGUUUGUAUUCUUGAAGCAACAACAACAAAAAUGAGGGGGAAAAGCUUAUGACAAAUAAUCCACCAGUCUGGAAUAUGUACCUGGGUGAUCUUGGGAAGGUUGGAAAGUUGUCGACCUUUAAGUAUUGCUGCAAGGAGUUCUUUCUUCUCUUCAACAUGUUCCAUACACAUAACCUGUUCAAAUUAAUCAACGAGAACAUGGUUAAUAAUCUGGGAAGAUAAAGAGAUUGAUUUUAUUAAUGUCGCAUUACAGAAAACUGCCUUGUAUCGGUUAAUCUUUGGCUUGUUUUUCUGAAUGAAUGUUCAAGCACAGAAUUCUCAAGCAUUGCCGAAUGACGUCAACUUCUGAGCAAUUGGAUGCAAAUUGCUUGUUUCAAUCAUACACUUCUCUAUGAUAAUUCUCUUCAAUUCAU